ACGCUCGACACCUACGGGGGCAGCAGUGGGGAAUAUUGCACAAUGGGGGGAACCCUGAUGCAGCGACGCCGCGUGAGUGAAGAAGUACUUCGGUAUGUAAAGCUCUAUCAGCAGGGAAGAAAAUGACGGUACCUGACUAAGAAGCCCCGGCUAACUACGUGCAGCAGCCGCGGUAAUCUGAGCGGGCUGGCAAGGC
rnacentral:rRNA from 1 species